rnacentral:rRNA from 1 species
UACGUAGGUGGCAAGCGUUGUCCGGAUUUAUUGGGUUUAAAGGGUGCGUAGGCGGCUUUGUAAGUCAGUGGUGAAAUACGGUAGCUUAACUAUCGAGGUGCCAUUGAUACUGCAGAGCUUGAGUACAGAUGAGGUAGGCGGAAUUGACGGUGUAGCGGUGAAAUGCUUAGAUAUCGUCAAGAACACCUAUAGCGAAGGCAGCUUACUAGGCUGUAACUGACGCUGAGGCACGAAAGUGUAGGGAUCAAACAGG